GUCCACGCCGUAACUUUGGGUGCUAGGCGUCGCGGGUAUUGACCCCGCGGUGCCGAAGCUAACGCGUUAAGCACCCGCCUGGGGAGUACGGUCGCAAGACUAAACUCAAAGGAAUUGACGGGGCCCGCACAAGCGGUGGAGCAUGUGGUUUAAUUCGAAGCAACGCGAAGAACCUUACCUGGACUUGACAUCUGGAGAAUCUCCUGGAAACAGGAGAGUGCCUUCGGGAGCUCCAAGACAGGUGCUGCAUGGCUGUCGU
rnacentral:rRNA from 1 species